CCCGCUGAACUUAAGCAUAUCAAUAAGCGGAGGAAAAGAAACUAACAAGGAUUCCCCUAGUAACUGCGAGUGAAGCGGGAAAAGCUCAAAUUUAAAAUCUGGCAGCUUCGCUGUCCGAGUUGUAAUUUAGAGAAGUGUUACCCGCGUUGGACCGUGUACAAGUCUCCUGGAACGGAGCGUCAUAGAGGGUGAGAAUCCCGUCUUUGACACGGACUACCAAGGCUUUGUGGUACGCUCUCGAAGAGUCGAGUUGUUUGGGAAUGCAGCUCUAAAUGGGUGGUAAAUUCCAUCUAAAGCUAAAUAUUGGCGAGAGACCGAUAGCAAACAAGUACCGUGAGGGAAAGAUGAAAAGAACUUUGGAAAGAGAGUUAAACAGUACGUGAAAUUGUUGAAAGGGAAACGCUUAAAGUCCAGUCGCGUUGGUUAGGAAUCAGCCUUGGUUUUCCUUGGUGUACUUCCUGAUCGACGGGUCAACAUCAGUUUUGACCGUUGGAUAAAGGUCGAGGGAAUGUGGCACCUUCGGGUGUGUUAUAGCCCUUGAUUGUAUACAGCGGUUGGGACUGAGGAACUCAGCACGCCGAAAGGCCGGGUCUUUGUACCACGUUCGUGCUUAGGAUGUUGGCAUAAUGGCUUUAAUCGACCCGUCUUGAAACACGG
rnacentral:rRNA from 1 species